rnacentral:misc_RNA from 1 species
GAUGAAGAACGUAGCGAAAUGCGAUAAGUGAUGUGAAUUGCAGAAUUCAGUGAAUCAUCGAAUCUUUGAACGCACAUUGCGCCCACUAGUAUUCUGGUGGGCAUGCCUGUUCGAGCGUCAUUUCAACCCUCAAGCCUGGCUUGGUGUUGGGGCUCUGCGCCUGCAGGCCCUCAAAUCCAGUGGCGGACACGCUAGGUCUCCGAGCGCAGUAGUUUCUCCUCGCUCAGGACGGCCGGCGUGGGCUUGCCUCGCACCCAUCUUCCACAAGGUUGACCUCGGAUCAGGUAGGAAUACCCGCUGAACUUAAGCAUAUCAAUAAGCGGAGGA